AGUUUUAUCAUACAUCCAGAAAAUACGUCAUGUAACAUGCACAUUUGCUUGUGUGUGUUCAUACACCAGCUGGCCUUGGAUGGAUAUUAUGCCAUUAGAUGUUGGCUGUGCUCCAGUGUGUUGUACUGCUAUAAGGGUCGGUUUUGUUCCAGUUUUGCAUUUCUCAUCGAACUGCCAUUGAUUUUUGCCAAGCCAUGCAUGCUUUUGCGUUUGUGCUCUCAGAACCUGCCCGAGCGGAUGAAGAUGGAUGAGGUGUAUGCGUUUGCGUGUGUGUAUGGAGCUGAAUGUAUAAUGUUUCAGGGGGGGCUUUUGCCGGCAACGUUUUCCGCUCGUACUCGUACUCCUCCAAUCCCAACCUCAGCCAUUCACAUCUGGUUGCUAGGCAACAGAUGCAGCUCCGUUGCUUUUCUGUGGGUUCGUUAGCAGAUUCUGAGCAAGCGUCUGGGAGGACAAAGCCUCUCUGUGGUCUGCCUGCUGAUGUUAGCAUCAGAGCAGUCGUUACAGCUCUCUGGAAGCCGCCGAAGAACUGCAUCCUGGUGAAGAUCAGGAGGAAAAUAUCUUUCCCAGAACCAGUUUCUCAGCUGAAGCCGACAUCAGCCAGGCACGGAUCAUCGCCAGCUCCUAAAAUGUCAUUCCUCUAAGUCUCCAGUGCCUCAGCUUUGGCUCGGUCAGUUCUGAUGGAACCAUAAACUUCAAACGGGCUCAGCGCCCGACUGGCAGAAUGCAUUUCUCUCUCUUUUUCCUCUGGCGGCCGGCCACUGGAAGUGAGCUAAUCGCUCCUUACACAGACCUCCCUGAGUCCUGGCCAAAGGAAUCUGAACAUUAUCCAAACCAAUGACCGAAAUGUUGAAAGCUGGCUUGCGGAUCCAGAGAUGGAAUUAUACAAGACAAACAUCCCCCUUUCUCUCCAGCCACCCUUUCUGUUAAGACUGUAAUGACCGCUGUGAAACUGCACACAGACUAACAUAUGUUUGUCAUUACCGCACAGCACACGGUGUACGCUUUUAUUUGCUGUCAUUUGUGUUGAAAAUGCAAUGUCUGAUCCAGUAAGCUGUCAGGGAUAUUUUUGCUGUAAUGGAUUGUCAGUAAGUCUCCCAGAAAGCCAUAUGUUUUAGUAUAUAUAUCAUAAAAUCGCUGAGACUCUGAAUUCAGGAAACAAACAGUGUACUUCCAGACUCUCCUAUGGAGCUCAACGGGCAGCCGUCUCCUCCAGCUGCUCGGUAUCACGGCCUGGCGUUUCCUCCACAGCCUUCCCAGUGCACCCCUCUGACCGAGCACCAUCCGGCAGAGAGAAACCCUGGAGAACAGGCUAGCAGAUUGGUUGGAGCAACAGCUCAUGGCCAGAAUGAUCACUGGAAUAUUCCCUCAGCCCGUCCAGACUGAUCCAGCAGCCAGCCAAUCAGAGACAGAGAAUAGUGUGACAUCAGGCAUUGCUGAGAAUGGUUUAUUUCUAUGUUUAUAAUUGUGACUUUAGGCCUCACAAUGAGACUUUGUCUUAUUUUAAACUCUAUGAAUUUGGCGUUAAACAUAUUUGAAAGCUCCCAGUUUAGUAGCUAUGAAGUUUGUCUGUCUGCGGUUUAACCAUCAUACAUCAUCACCAAUUUACAAGUGUGUCUGGUCAAUGUUCAAAAUCAAAUAAUGCAUGACAUAAACCAGCAAGAAUGGUCGAGCUGCACCAGGUUCCAAUCUAUAAGCUCAUCAUUUUGAUUCAUAGUGUUUAUGAAUGAGAGCAGUGCAUUUGUCAAGAGUGUCAGCACGCAUCAAGAUUGUAUUUCCUCAUUAAAACACGAUUGCUUGUGCUCAUCCUCUCUACUCCUCCUCCGCUCGAUCCUUCCAUCUCCUUCGCGUCACUUCUGCUCAGUCGGCGAGGAGGUCCUGCCUCAUUAAUUCUCGCUUUCAUUUAAUAGGAAGAUCAAUGAUGUAUCAAAUUUGCAGAGGAGGCUCGCAGCAAACUGUUGUCAGCAUAUUCCCAGACUGACUGGACUCUUCCUCCUGUAGAGGAACUGUAUAUGUGUUUAAACGCAAACAAAAGGAAACGUGGCCCCUGCCAAGAAUGUCAGUUCUGUAUAUUAGUUUUUUAAUACCACCGGCCCAAAAUGCUUACGGGUGCGAGAAUUCAAGAGUAGGCUGGAUGAGAGGUAAAGUGGAUAUCAAAUUGGUUAUUUAAAAUUACUUUGCUGGCAAACUCAACUUGCCAGAAGAGCAUCAUGGGAAAACUUCUGAAUGUUGUGGGAAUGCCAGAUGUGCAGGUAUUAAGUGCAUGCGUUGUUAUUUUUUGGAUGCACAUUAAAGGUUGAGCUCUUUAAAUGGAUGUGAAUUUUGAUAUUAAACAAUAGCAAUGACCUUGUUGAAAGUGGUGAUAGGUCAGACCUGUGGCCUAGCGGUUUUAGAUCCAGGUUUGAAUCCAGGGAUGUGUCCUUUUGCUCAAAACACAUUGCAUUUCUUUGUCAGUAAAACUGUGGUAAAAAUAAUUAUUUAGUAAGCAUUUAUCAGGGCCAUAAAGUUAUGUAAUAAAAAAAAAUCAUGCUAGCUCAAUAAUCAUUCAUUAGCCCUGUCAGAGGACAAGAAGUGAAAAAAAAAAACCUUUAGCUGUACGCUUUUAUUUACUUUUUACUGUAAUCUUGUUAACAAAAGAUGGCAAACCAUGUCCCUCAUACACCAGCUGAUUCUCUCUCUGUGUGUUUGUGUGGGAGUGGAGGCCGCAGGGUUUAGUGGGCUUCAGGUGUGUGUGGACACAGGGGUACCAGUGGACUCUGAGCUCAUAAGACAGUGUGUAAAUGAAGUGCUGGCUGAAACCGCUGCAGUAAUGCUGGGACAGAGAGAGAUGCAGAUAGUGCCCGAUGCCCCUGUCUAAACACAGCUGGUGUCUACAGUACCAACACCAGCAUCCACUCCUGAGCCAGACUCGACAGAGCUGCUGUCAGAACCCCUGAUCUUUUCAAGCGUCUCUCUUCAGCUUUUUCUUCCAAUGAAAACCAUCAGGGAUCUGCUUUAUCAAGUCUGACAGUCCAGAUAGGUUUCCUGUGGGCACACCGGCUACCAGACCAAUCCCACCCACACCACGAUGGCCACACCCUCACCUCCUCCAGCCAAUCAGAGCCCAGAUUCAGCCAGCCUGCAGAACCACCCGUGGGGAGGACCAGAGCUCCCCCUGGAGGAGGAAGAACCGCACAGCGAGAGGCAGAAACAGCCUUCAGCAUCAGUUGUAACGUCAGUAGCCCAAGAGAGUGAUGAGGAAGAAUCAGUCAUCCAUUCAUUUCCACCUCUCCCCUCCAAACCCAAGACUUCCUCACCUCCUCUUCCUCCUGUGAGCCAGGAACCUCCUCCUUCUGCCCCCCUCGAAUCCUUCUCUUCCUUGCACUACACAGAAGAGAGUUACUCUAGUUCUAUAGUGAGACAGUCACGGAGACACAGAUGCCAGCCAGACACACAUCUCAGGGAGAGCUGCGGCUCACUCAAAGCCAGAUGGAGGCAGUCAGAAGUACACGAUCGGUCCAACACACACUCACACAGCCAGACUGAUCCAAAACCACACUGGCUGCAGAAGCAGCUGCCCUCUAAGGACAAAAUGGAUGAGGAAGGAGUCCUUCUGUCUAAUGUGAUGACCAGCCUGAACAGUUCCCUGCAUGGAGUCCAAGAUAUGAGUUCCCAGAUGUCACAGGCGGUUCACAGACCUGCACCAAUCCUGGUGAGGCAGUACCAAGAAAAAGAGGAACCAGGACCCUGCAUAUUUGAAGUUCCUUGUCAUGCCCCAGUUACAACAGUCCUCUUCCACUGAAGCCAACUGGCCAAGUGCAGCCCAGAAAUGCAUGAACAGUUCCGGCUGGAAACGCUCACUCUUUCUUUGCUUUGGGUGAUGUUGCAGCAGGCGUAUCGUGCAGCCCGUCUCAUCCUGUCAAGUGUGAGAUCAGGUCUAGAGAUAAAGUUCCCCUCACAGAUGGAUGAGUGGAGAUGAGAGGGAUAGACUUUUGAAAACGAACCGGGUUUGAGUGCGGCUGUGCGCUCCAAUAGUCACCACCUCUUCACCCCUGACUCCUCAUCUGCCAGACGGAGUGAAGAGGGGGGCUCAUCACUGGAGCAGGGCCGCUUUGAUCAGCCGAGCCAGGCAGAGGCACUAAGCCACACGGCAGAAGGCCCUGUCUCUGCUUUCACAGGUGGAAGAGCAGGCUUUCAUGGGAGCGCUCUUGUUACAGUGCGCUGAGGUUUUGUGGGGUACAGCCUGGGAUUGUGUUUGAUGUUGGGCUGAGUGGAAGCUACAGUUGUCCUGUCUGAGCAGAUGGACAAAUUUGUGUCGUCCUGUAUGAGGCACGCCACUUUACAGGAAACUACAGGCUUCUAAGUAAUCCUGCUGUUGGAGGAUGCAAAGAUGAAUAGUAUUUUGGAUGAGAUUUAGGUGGAGAAAAACAGUUUGUGGUGGACACUUCUGGCUCUGAAGUCUAAUUGGAGUUUGCUCUGAAAAUAUAUGAUGUACAUAAACCUGUGACAUCAUCAUGAUAAAAGUGUAUUUUUCUAGAUACUAUUACGAUUUACGA